rnacentral:rRNA from 1 species
CACGUAGGGGGCAAGCGUUGUCCGGAAUCAUUGGGCGUAAAGCGCGCGUAGGUGGCUUCGUAAGUCCGUUGUGAAAGUCAAAGGCUCAACCUUUGAAUGCCGAUGGAUACUGCGGAGCUAGAGUACGGAAGAGGCGAGUGGAAUUCCUGGUGUAGCGGUGGAAUGCGCAGAUAUCAGGAGGAACACCGGUGGCGAAGGCGGGUCUCUGGGCCGAUACUGACGCUGAGGAGCGAAAGCGUGGGGAGCGAACAGG